rnacentral:lncRNA from 1 species
AGCAGUAGAGUGAGUCUGUCAAGGGAUCCACUGCAGAGUGGGAUUCGAACCAGAAACCCUGAGGCCACGGCACCAUUCUCCGAACUACUACACGACCUGCACUCCGGCUUGAAAUCCAUCUUUAGAACAUUUCUGGCAACGGCUGAGUGGUGCGAGGCUGCGUCCUUCCUUCUGAGGCGGCACAGCAGGACGCUGUCAAAAACGGAGACAUUCCAACACAGACAGAGGGCAUGAGGUCAAAGGGCAGAAAGGUGCUUCGAUACAAGCAGGGAUGCGAUUCGGGCCGGUUGGGCGAACACUCGUUGGAAAAGUGAUCGGUCAACCGAGCUUCCGCUUGCAGUUUUCAAACCAUUAAAGCGUAAAAUAACAAAGAGUUUGAGUGCUGCGUGAGGGUCUGCAGAAAAUGGUCACCCCCCCA